rnacentral:rRNA from 1 species
GGGUUAGUAGGUUGGUCAUGCCACUUGUACUGGUCUCACUGAUUCCUCCUUCCUGAUGAACUGUAAUGCCAUUAAUUUGGUGAUGCAGGGAAUCUGGAUAGUUUACUUUGAAAAAAUUAGAGUGUUUAAAGCAAGCUAACGCUUGAAUACAUUAGCAUGGAAUAAUGAAAUAGGACGUUCGAUCCUAUUUUGUUGGUUUCUAGGAUUGACGUA